rnacentral:lncRNA from 1 species
UCGUUCUUAUUCGCUUGUUCGGGAUACCUUUGAUUCUUGAUAUAUUCUAAGAUAUCAUGGAACCAAGGCCGUCCGUCUACUUCUUUCUCAAUGCUACAACAGUGUGCAGGGACCUCGUAUAUGCUCAUUUUGAGGGGCAUUAUUUCUGCUUCUCUACUUGCUUUGAACAUUGAAGCCAAAGUGGCUAGGGCAUCAGCCAGUUGGUUCUCUUCUCGUGGGAAGUAAUAAAAAGUUAUUUCUUUGAAUUCCUUGAUCAAUCCAGCCACUAAAUCGC